rnacentral:rRNA from 1 species
UGGGGAAUUUUGCACAAUGGGGGAAACCCUGAUGCAGCGACGCCGCGUGAUUUAGAAGGCCUUCGGGUUGUAAAAAUCCUUUCUAUGGGAAGAAAAUGACAGUACCAUAGGAAUAAGGACCGGCUAAUUACGUGCCAGCAGCCGCGGUAAUACGUAAGGUCCGAGCGUUGUCCGGAAUCAUUGGGCGUAAAGGGUACGUAGGCGGGUAAGCAAGUUAGAAGUGAAAGCCUAUAGCUCAACUAUAGUAAGCUUUUAAAACUGCUCAUCUUGAGGUAUGGAAGGGAAAGUGGAAUUCCUAGUGUAGCGGUGAAAUGCGCAGAUAUUAGGAGGAAUACCGGUGGCGAAGGCGACUUUCUGGCCAUAACCUGACGCUGAGGUACGAAAGCGUGGGUAGCAAACAGG